GAAAGGGGAGGCUCGCCCGAGCGGUUGGUGCUGUCCGCGAGAGGAUUGGCUAAAGGGGGCUUUUGGGGGCGGUGCCUCAGGAAAAGGGGGGAAACAGAAAGCUGCCAAUCGGAUCGCUAGGGGAGAACUGGUAAAGUUUGUCAUAGCCCCCAAGGCAGCACACCCUAUUAUUUUAGGGUUCAACUUCCUUCAACACCACAAUCCAGCAAGCUCCCAGCAUUCACUGCUCCCUUCCAGCUUUCACCACACAGGCUAUCAAGGAACCAUCUUGUCUGUAAAGAGAAGAAGAGAGAAGGAAACUCGGGGAGCACCUGCCUUCCAUGAAGAUCCUGGCAUUGACCGCCUCCCUCCCAACUGUCACUACACAGGCUAUAAAGGAGCCAUCUCGCUUGUAGGGAAUGGAGGAAAAAAGGAAACUAGAAGUCUUUGGUUGCUGUAAGGACUCUGUUGCUACUGAAUUGUCUCUCUUCCCUUCCGCACCCUUUUGUCUUGUCUCUUUAGAUUGUAAGCCUGAGAGCAGGGGCUUGUCUAAGGUUAUAUAAGCUGCACUGAGAGUCUUCUGGCUUAAGGGUUGCAUAUAAGUAAAUGGAAUAAAUAAAUAAGUAAACUUCA
rnacentral:lncRNA from 1 species